CACGUAAGCGCGAUAUGCUUAUGUGGAAGGAAAUCGCGUCCUUGAGGGAGCGAUUUCCUUCCACGUAAGCAUCUCGCGCUUACGUGG
rfam:Gossypium raimondii Chr08_contig_237, whole genome shotgun sequence.